rnacentral:rRNA from 1 species
GACGAACGCUGGCGGCGUGCUUAACACAUGCAAGUCGAGCGGUAAGGCCCUUUCGGGGGUACACGAGCGGCGAACGGGUGAGUAACACGUGGGUGACCUGCCCUCAGCUCUGGGAUAAGCCCGGGAAACCGGGUCUAAUACCGGAUAUGACUCCAUGACGCAUGUUGUGGGGUGAAAGCCUUGUGCGGCUGAGGAUGGGCCCNCGGCCUAUCAGCUUGUUGGUGGGUNAUGGCCUACCAAGGCGACGACGGUAGCCGGCCUGAGAGGGCGACCGGCCACACUGGGACUGAGACACGGCCCAGACUCCUACGGGAGGCAGCAGGUGGGGAAUCUUGCGCAAGUGGGACGAAAGCCUGACGCAGCGACGCCGCGUGAGG